GAGUGCGGUAGGGGAGAUUGGAAUUUCCUGGUGUAGCGGUGGAAUGCGCAGAUAUCAGGAGGAACACCGAUGGCGAAGGCAGAUCUCUGGGCCGUAACUGACGCUGAGGAGCGAAAGGGUGGGGAGCAAACAGGCUUAGAUACCCUGGUAGUCCACCCCGUAAACGUUGGGAACUAGUUGUGGGGACCAUUCCACGGUUUCCGUGACGCAGCUAACGCAUUAAGUUCCCCGCCUGGGGAGUACGGCCGCAAGGCUAAAACUCAAAGGAAUUGACGGGGACCCGCACAAGCGGCGGAGCAUGCGGAUUAAUUCGAUGCAACGCGAAGAACCUUACCAAGGCUUGACAUAUACGAGAACGGGCCAGAAAUGGUCAACUCUUUGGACACUCGUAAACAGGUGGUGCAUGGUUGUCGUCAGCUCGUGUCGUGAGAUGUUGGGUUAAGUCCCGCAACGAGCGCAACCCUCGUUCUAUGUUGCCAGCACGUAAUGGUGGGAACUCAUGGGAUACUGCCGGGGUCAACUCGGAGGAAGGUGGGGAUGACGUCAAAUCAUCAUGCCCCUUAUGUCUUGGGCUUCACGCAUGCUACAAUGGCCGGUACAAAGGGCUGCAAUACCGUGAGGUGGAGCGAAUCCCAAAAAGCCGGUCCCAGUUCGGAUUGAGGUCUGCAACUCGACCUCAUGAAGUCGGAGUCGCUAGUAAUCGCAGAUCAG
rnacentral:rRNA from 1 species